AUACGUAGGUGGCGAGCGUUGUCCGGAAUUACUGGGCGUAAAGGGUGCGUAGGCGGAUACUUAAGUCAGAUGUGAAACUCCGGGGCUUAACUUCGGGACUGCAUUUGAAACUGGGUAUCUAGAGUGCAGGAGAGGGAAGCGGAAUUCCUAGUGUAGCGGUGAAAUGCGUAGAUAUUAGGAAGAACACCAGUGGCGAAGGCGGCUUUCUGGACUGUAACUGACGCUGAGGCACGAAAGCGUGGGGAGCGAACAGGAUUAGAUACCCUGGUAGUCCACGCCGUAAACGAUGAGUGCUAGGUGUAGGGGGCGAAUGCCUUCUGUGCCGCAGUAAACGCAAUAAGCACUCCGCCUGGGGAGUACGGUCGCAAGACUAAA
rnacentral:rRNA from 1 species